rnacentral:rRNA from 1 species
AAACAGGAUUAGAUACCCUGGUAGUCCACGCCGUAAACGAUGUCGAUUUGGAGGUUGUGCCCUUGAGGCGUGGCUUCCGGAGCUAACGCGUUAAAUCGACCGCCUGGGGAGUACGGCCGCUAGGUUAAAACUCAAAUGAAUUGACGGGGGCCCGCACAAGCGGUGGAGCAUGUGGUUUAAUUCGAUGCAACGCGAAGAACCUUACCUGGUCUUGACAUCCACAGAACUUUCCAGAGAUGGAUUGGUGCCUUCGGGAACUGUGAGACUGGUGCUGCAUGGCUGUCGUCAGCUCGUUUUGUCAAUUGUUGGGUUAAGUCCCGCAACGAGCG